rnacentral:siRNA from 1 species
UCCAAGUACGAUGGUGAUUUUGGU